GACGAACGCUGGCGGCGUGCUUAACACAUGCAAGUCGAACGCUGAAGCUCAGCUUUUGUUGGGUGGAUGAGUGGCGAACGGGUGAGUAACACGUGAGUAACCUGCCUCCUUCUUUGGGAUAACGCCCGGAAACGGGUGCUAAUACUGGAUAUUCACUGGUCUUCGCAUGGGGGUUGGUGGAAAGGGUUUUUCUGGUGGGGGAUGGGCUCGCGGCCUAUCAGCUUGUUGGUGGGGUGAUGGCCUACCAAGGCUUUGACGGGUAGCCGGCCUGAGAGGGUGACCGGUCACAUUGGGACUGAGAUACGGCCCAGACUCCUACGGGAGGCAGCAGUGGGGAAUAUUGCACAAUGGGCGCAAGCCUGAUGCAGCGACGCCGCGUGAGGGAUGGAGGCCUUCGGGUUGUGAACCUCUUUCGCUCAUGGUCAAGCCGCAACAAUGGUUGUGGUGAAGGUAGUGGGUAAAGAAGCGCCGGCUAACUACGUG
rnacentral:rRNA from 1 species